AGUGAACGCUGGCGGUAGGCCUAACACAUGCAAGUCGAACGAGUGGCGGACGGGUGAGGAAUACAUCGGAAUCUACUCUGUCGAGGGGGAUAACGUAGGGGCACUUACACUAAUACCGCAUACGAUUGAAUGCGCCGAUGUCGGAUUAGCGAGUGGGCGGGGUAAAGGCCCACCAAGGCGACGAUCCGUAGCUGGUCUGAGAGGAUGAUCAGCCACACUGGAACUGAGACACGGUCCAGACUCCUACGGGAGGCAGCAGUGGGGAAUAUUGGACAAUGGGCGCAAGCCUGAUCCAGCCAUACCGCGUGUGUGAAGAAGGCCUUCGGGUUGUAAAGCACUUUAAUUGGGAAAGCGGUACCCAAAGAAUAAGCACCGGCUAACUUCGUGCCAGCCGCCGCGGUAAUUC
rnacentral:rRNA from 1 species